rnacentral:rRNA from 1 species
UACGGGGGGGGCAAGCGGUUGUUCGGAAUUACUGGGCGUAAAGGGCGCGGUAGGCGGCUCAAUCAGUCGGGCGUGAAAGCUCUGGGCUUAACCCAGAAAAAGUCGUUCGAUACUGUUGGGCUAGAGUGUGGAAGAGGCUACUGGAAUCCCGUGUGUAGCGGGUGAAAUGCGUAGAUAUAACGGAGGAACACCGGUGGCGAAGGCGGGGUCGUCUG